rnacentral:rRNA from 1 species
CCGUUAAGCCCGCCGCCUGGGGAGUACGGUCGCAAGGCUGAAACUUAAAGGAAUUGGCGGGGGAGCACCACAAGGUGUGAAGCUUGCGGUUUAAUUGGAGUCAACGCCGGGAACCUUACCGGGGGCGACAGCAGAAUGAAGGCCAGAUUUAAGGUCUUGCUAGACGAGCUGAGAGGAGGUGCAUGGCCGUCGCCAGUUCGUGCCGUGAGGUGUCCUGUCAAGUCAGGCAACGAUCGAGACCCACAUCCACUGUUGCUACUGAGGAGAUUUCUCCAAGGAGCAAGACUUUGGAGACUGCCGCCGAUAAGGCGGAGGAAGGAGUGGGCCACGGCAGGUCAGUAUGCCCCGAAUCCCUCGGGCCACACGCGAGCUGCAAUGGCAGGGACAGUGAGUUUCCAACUUCGAAAGGAGAAGGUAAUCCCUAAACCCUGCCUCAGUUGGGAUUGAGGGCUGCAACCCGCCCUCAUGAAUCAUGGAAUACCUAGUAAUCGCGCAUCAUCACUGCGCGGUGAAUACGUCCCCGCUCCUUGCACACACCACCCGUCGUUCCAUUCGAGUGGGGUUUGGGUGAGGCGUAGUCUUCUUGGCUGCGUCGAAUCUAAGCUUCGCGAGAAGGGAAAAGUCGUAACAAGGUAACCGU